rnacentral:rRNA from 1 species
GAUGAACGCUGGCGGCGUGCCUAAUACAUGCAAGUCGAGCGAAGCGGGGCCGGGUGAGUAACACGUCGAUAACAUCCUAUAAGACUGGGGUAACUUCGUGAAACCGGAGCUAAUACGGAAUCUUAUAGCUGGUUCGGCGUGGCAUUAGCUAGUUGGUAAGGUAACGGCUUACCAAGGCAACGAUGCAUAGCCGACCUGAGAGGGUGAUCGGCCACACUGGAACUGAGACACGGUCCAGACUCCUACGGGAGGCAGCAGUAGGGAAUCUUCCGCAAUGGGCGAAAGCCUGACGGAGCAACGCCGCGUGAGUGAUGAAGGUCUUCGGAUCGUAAAACUCUGUUAUUAGGGAAGCGGUACCUAAUCAGAAAGCCACGGCUAACUACGUGCCAGCAGCCGCGGUAAUAC